GAUGACGCUGGCGGCAGGCCUAACACAUGCAAGUCGAACGAGUGGCGGACGGGUGAGUAAUGUCUGGGAAACUGCCUGAUGGAGGGGGAUAACUACUGGAAAGGGUAGCUAAUACCGCAUAACAUCAGAUGUGCCCAGAUGGGAUUAGCUAGUAGGUGGGGUAACGGCUCACCUAGGCGAAGAUCCCUAGCUGGUAUGAGAGGAUGACCAGCCACACUGGAACUGAGACACGGCCCAGACUCCUACGGGAGGCAGCAGUGGGGAAUAUUGCACAAUGGGCGCAAGCCUGAUGCAGCCAUGCCGCGUGUAUGAAGAAGGCCUUCGGGUUGUAAAGUACUUUCAGCGGGGAGGCGUUACCCGCAGAAGAAGCACCGGCUAACUCCGUGCCAGCAGCCGCGGUAAUUC
rnacentral:rRNA from 1 species